rnacentral:rRNA from 1 species
CAGUCGCCGCGGUAAUACGUAGGGUGCAAGCGUUAAUCGGAAUUACUGGGCGUAAAGCGUGCGCAGGCGGUUCUAUAAGACAGAUGUGAAAUCCCCGGGCUCAACCUGGGAACUGCAUUUGUGACUGUAGAGCUGGAGUGCGGCAGAGGGGGAUGGAAUUCCGCGUGUAGCAGUGAAAUGCGUAGAUAUGCGGAGGAACACCGAUGGCGAAGGCAAUCCCCUGGGCCUGCACUGACGCUCAUGCACGAAAGCGUGGGGAGCAAACAGGAUUAGAUACCCCCGUAGUCCCUGUCUCUUAUAC